rnacentral:rRNA from 1 species
GAUGAACGCUGGCGGCGUGCCUAAUACAUGCAAGUCGAGCGAACUGAUUAGAAGCUUGCUUCUAUGACGUUAGCGGCGGACGGGUGAGUAACACGUGGGCAACCUGCCUGUAAGACUGGGAUAACUUCAGGAAACCGAAGCUAAUACCGGAUGGGAUCUUCUCCUUCAUGGGAGAUGAUUGAAGGAUGGUUUCGGCUAUCACUUACAGAUGGGCCCGCGGUGCAUUAGCUAGUUGGUGAGGUAACGGCUCACCAAGGCAACGAUGCAUAGCCGACCUGUGAGGGUGAUAGGCCACACUGGGACUGAGACACGGCCCAGGCUCCUACGGGAGGCAGCAGUAGGGAAUCUUCCGCAAUGGACGAAAGUCUGACGGAGCAACGCCGCGUGAGUGAUGAAGGCUUUCGGGUCGUAAAACUCUGUUGUUAGGGAAGAACAAGUACGAGAGUAACUGCUCGUACCUUGACGGUACCUAACCAGAAAGCCACGGCUAACUACGUGCCAGCCGCCGCGGUAACAC